GACGAACGCUGGCGGCGUGCUUAACACAUGCAAGUCGAACGGUGAAGCGCCUUCCUUUUUGGUUGGUGUGGAUGAGUGGCGAACGGGUGAGUAACACGUGAGUAACCUGCCCCCUUCUUCUGGAUAACCGCAUGAAAGUGUGGCUAAUACGGGAUAUUCUGGGUCUGUCGCAUGAUUGGUCUGGGAAAGAUAUUGUUUCGGUGGGGGAUGGGCUCGCGGCCUAUCAGCUUGUUGGGGGGGUGAUGGCCUACCAAGGCGGUGACGGGUAGCCGGCCUGAGAGGGUGGCCGGUCACACUGGGACUGAGACAAGGCCCAGACUGAUACGGGAGGCAGCAGUGGGGAAUAGUGAACAAUGGGCGAAAGCCUGAUGCAGCGACGCCGCGGGAGGGAUGGAGGCCCUCGGGUUGUGAACCUCUUUCGCCAGUGAAGCAGGCCUGCCUCGUUUGUGGGUGGGUUGACGGUAGCUGGAUAAGAAGCGCCGGCUAACUACGUG
rnacentral:rRNA from 1 species